CUCUAAUACAUUUUCUAGAUUAUAUAUUUUACGGAAUAUAUACAAUGAAAGUAUUAGUAUUAAAGAGAUUUAUUCCUUCCUAAUUUAGGUAAAAAUAAAAAAGUAAAAUAAGUAUUAGUAAAAAUA
rnacentral:ncRNA from 1 species